UACCAUUGAACUAUAAAUAAACUGGAAGGCUAACUGCUAUGAUGAAGGCCUAUGAUUUGAUGAAGCCAAAAUAGUUUUUCUGAGUUAUGAGCAGAAAUACUUGACCCCAAACGUCGUGCUAUAUAUCAAAUUGAAGCCAUUGAAAAUUGCUAUUCGGUGUGGAAAUUUCAAGACUUCAGCGAAAAGAAAAAUAUUUAAAAAAUACAAAAACAACUGCAAAACGGCAAAUUAUCGGUAAUUAUGUUUGUAGUUUUUCAAUAUUUCCCUUUUAGCUAAAGUCUUGAAAUUUCUACACCAAAUAGCGUUUUUCAAUAGCUUCAAUUUGAUAUAUUACCCAACGUUUAGUGUUGAGUAUUUCUGCUCAUAACUCAGAAAAACUAAAAUACACUGGCUUCAAUUUCCCCCCCUGAGUUAGCCUUCCAGUUUAUUUAUAGUUCAAUGUACAGUACAAAUUUACAGUGCGUCUACUGUAAGUGGGGCCACUUAGAGAACACUAACCAAUCGCAUUGCAGAACAGAAAGAAAAAUCUAAUCAAACUAAAGCUCGUCCAAUCAAAAGAAAGAUUCAGGAAGCC